UGUGUGUGUAAGUGUGUGUGUGUGUGAGAGAGAGAGAAAAUAUACAUUUAUUCUGUUUUGUUAUUGUUGCCAGUCGUGUCCAUGAGUAUUCAACUAGGCUUGAAAUGAUUUACAUUUCCCUCUCUCUGUAGUCACAAAGCUAGAAGCUGAGAGAGGUGGCCCCUAGUAAAGACUCAACAUCUGUCUGUGGUCAUGAAGCUGAGAGAGGUGGCCCCGAGUAAAGACUCAACAUCUGUCUGUGGUCAUGAAGCUGAGAGAGGUGGCCCCGAGUAAAGACUCAACAUCUGUCUGUGGUCAUGAAGCUGAGAGAGGUGGCCCCUAGUAAAGACUCAACAUCUGUCUGUGGUCAUGAAGCUGAGAGAGGUGGCCCCUAGUAAAGACUCAACAUCUGUCUGUGGUCAUGAAGCUGAGAGAGGUGGCCCCGAGUAAAGACUCAACAUCUGUCUGUGGUCAUGAAGCUGAGAGAGGUGGCCCCUAGUAAAGACUCAACAUCUGUCUGUGGUCAUGAAGCUGAGAGAGGUGGCCCCAAGUAAAGAUUCAACAUAUUUUUGCAAAUGUGCAUACUGUAUAUAUUUGUGUGUACACAUACAGUUGAAGUCGGAAGUUUACAUACAUUUAGGUUGGAGUCAUUAAAACACGUUUUUCAACCACUCCACAAAUUUCUUGUUAAACUAUAGUUUUGGCAUGUCGGUAAGGACAUCUACUUUGUGCAUGACAUAAAUUUUCCAUCAAUUAUUUAUAGACAGAUUAUUUCACUUAUAAUUCACUGUAUCACAAUUCCCG
ensembl:lncRNA